GGGCGAUUAGCUCAGUUGGUCCAGAGCGCUUGCCUUACAAGCAAGAGGUCACUAGUUCGAAUCUAGUAUCGCCCAUCA
rnacentral:tRNA from 1 species